rnacentral:rRNA from 1 species
GACGAACGCUGGCGGCGUGCCUAAUACAUGCAAGUAGAACGCUGAAGGAGGAGCUUGCUCUUCUGGAUGAGUUGCGAACGGGUGAGUAACGCGUAGGUAACCUGCCUGGUAGCGGGGGAUAACUAUUGGAAACGAUAGCUAAUACCGCAUAACAGUAGAUGUUGCAUGACAUUUACUUAAAAGGUGCAAUUGCAUCACUACCAGAUGGACCUGCGUUGUAUUAGCUAGUUGGUGGGGUAACGGCUCACCAAGGCGACGAUACAUAGCCGACCUGAGAGGGUGAUCGGCCACACUGGGACUGAGACACGGCCCAGACUCCUACGGGAGGCAGCAGUAGGGAAUCUUCGGCAAUGGACGGAAGUCUGACCGAGCAACGCCGCGUGAGUGAAGAAGGUUUUCGGAUCGUAAAGCUCUGUUGUAGGAGAAGAACGAGUGUGAGAGUGGAAAGUUCACACUGUGACGGUAUCUUACCAGAAAGGGACGGCUAACUACGUG